AACACGUCCCUGAGGCUGGGCAACGCGGGAGCCCUCCGUGGCAGCGCUUGGGUGUCGGGCCUCCGAGGCUCAUGGCUGACCUCUCUACGGGGUCCACAGGAAGGUCUCCGGCUGCCAGGAGUGGCAAAGGCCCGACCAGGAUGACGAAACCACAGGGGAGUCCGGGUGAAGCAGCGUGGCAUCCCAGCCUCCGGCUUGCCCUGACGGUGUUCGGGACUGACUCUAACUACGUGAAGAACUGCUACAUAUUCUACAGUGCUUGAUGGGUGGUUCCCAUCUAACAGGAGCUGCUUGGCUUGUGGAUAGCAGUUCCAAGAUGAACAAAUGACAUUGUGUUUGAAAGCCACUGCUCUUAUUAAAGAAGAGUCAAGCAAA